rnacentral:lncRNA from 1 species
GGGGUUUAGGAUCAGCUCCGAGACGGCCCAUUCGAUCGUCGCCCUGGAAGUUAGACUGCCGCAAGCUUACGUGAGAAAGAACAAAGUACGAAGAACAAGGUAAGCUUUUUCUUUCUACCUGGAGCAGCGGUUGUCGCUGAGCUUGUUUUCGCCUGCCAGAGUCAGCAUCACGUCGACAAAGUCCCGGGGAUUUCCUGGAUCGAAGCCUUCCGUGUGCUCCUCGAUGACUGCUUUGAGAAAGCGAGCUCUUGCUGGUAAGACCUCAUUCUUGAGACGAUUUUGCGUCCUGAGCGUGUCCAGCCACUGCAGCGCAGGGAUGUAAUCACCCGCAAAGAGCCAUCUGGAUUCUUUCGCUACGAUCCGACUCCUUGUAGUCCUCGGCCUCGGGAGUGAGGGGCUCGUCGGUACCGUAGAACUUCCUCCCGAUCAACACGCUCGUCAUGAGGUUCGUGAAGUACUCGUGCAGCAUGGAGCUGAGAUCAACUCGACGAUCGAUCCAAACGCUCCCAGCUCCAAGUGGCUGACUUUGGAGGCCGUGAAGAGCUCCGCGGCGCUCACUCGCCGCAGCAUCUUCCAUCGCUCGCCGAAAGAUGAGGUCCUGGAAGUUGUGGCUGAGGAGGCAGGCGAGGCACGAAGGAGUAGUGGGGCCUUCUCGCAAACUCGGCGUCGUGCUCCUUGAGGACUUGCCUCGCCAUCUCCGGGGCUUGCCUCGCCAUCUCCAGCUAUUCUUUCGAGCCAUCUCGGCCAGGGAGCGGUGACGGUAAGCGCCGAGAGAGAGAGACGACGGGCCAUGAGAAAGGACCUGUGACGAGCAAAUCCAGCAGCGCACUGAUCUUGCUCUGCUGAAUCAGUGUCGUAAGUCUUAGGUCUUUUAGCCUUGGCCUCUCUUAUUAGGCUCGCAAGGUAAGGCGUGUUUUCGAAAAUUUGAGAGACGAAAGAACUUUACCUUGUCAAGAAGAGUUCACAAAUAGAAUUUGGAAAAGCCUACGCUGAAAGAAUUAUCCAUCUUAAGUAGCCUACGCUGAAAGAAUUAUCUUAGGACUUAAGAAUUUGG